GACGAACGCUGGCGGCGCGCCUAAUACAUGCAAGUAGGACGCAGUUGCGAACGGGUGAGUAACGCGUAGGUAACUACCUAUUAGAGGGGGAUAACUAUUGGAAACGAUAGCUAAUACCGCCUACUAGUAGAUGGACCUGCGUUGUAUUAGCUAGUAGGUAGGGUAAUGGCUUACCUAGGCAACGAUAAAUAGCCGACUCGGUAGGGUGUUCGGCCACACCUGGACCGAGAAAAGGCCCAGACUCCUCAGGGAGGCAGCAGUAGGGAAGCUUCGGCAAUGGGGGGAACCCUGACCGAGCACCUCCGCGUGAGUGAAGAAGGUUUUCGGAUCGUAAAGCUCUGUUGUUAAGGAAGCGGUACUUAACCAGAAAGGGACGGCUAACUACGUGCCAGCAGCCGCGGUAAUUC
rnacentral:rRNA from 1 species